UUCGCCAUGUGGAGCCAGGCUCGUCUCAAACUCCUGCCCUCAGGUAAUCUGCCUGCCUUGGCCUCCCAUAGUGCUGGGAUUAUAGGCAUGAGCCACCAUGCCCAGCUGGCACUUUUCAGCUCAACUUCCGAACACCUGAGGAGAGGCUUCUCUGCCUGGCCCGGGCAGCAUGCCACCACUUCCCUCCUGCACUCAGCGCCAGAUCAGAGGGUUGAGCCAUGAGCUCGCAGCUGAGUCUCCUGGAGCAAGUGUGUUAAAGUGGAGGCGGAGAUAGGGCCUGGGCAUCUGAUUUUUUAGAUGCCCAGGGGUGCUGACACCACUGCUGGAACCCCACUCUGAGGACCACCGGCUUGGACCAAAGAGAGCCCGUCUCUCCCACCCCAAGCUGGAUAAGACCUUGACUGCCUUCCCAGGUCAUUGCCCGUCCUGGCCCAGAGCUCCCUGAACCUGCAGGCCAUGAAAAAGUGACAGGACCAGAUCCGAAGCAAACAGUCACCUCUAGACAAUGAGGAGGAUCUUUUUCCUGUUUCCACUUGUUUCCUGGUAACAAUAAAAGGAACAGUGGGCAUCCUGUCCAUCUUAACUCUGGUCCCGGCCAUGACAUCCCCAUCCCGCUGGCCUCUGCAGUUUGCAGGCACACACCUGGCAACUUCCCUGCUUUCAGGGUCACCCAGCCCCUCCGCCUCAGGCCUCCCCUCCCUCUGAUGGCAUCACACUGUCCUGUGUGUGUACGUGUUUGCCUCUCCCAGAUGUGAGCCACGGCAGGAGGGCAGGGCCUGCAGUCCCCAGCGUCUGCACUGCACCAGGGCUUGAACAAGCAGUGGAGGCCCUCACUCACCUCCUUCCAGAAGAUAAAGAGGGUCCCACUGAUGAUGAUGGCCGCAGACAUGAGGAUCUUCAGGAUGAGGGCUCUGCUGAGGAUGGUGUCCCCCACGCUCCGUGGUGGCUGCCUGAGGGCGUCUUUGUCAACGGGCUCUACGCCCAGGCUGCUCCCAACAAAACACAGACACUUGGAAAUGAACCAGGGAUGUAAAAAGGAUGUUUGAAACGGCUGUACCUACAUCUUCCAGGACGAGUUGGCACAGUGGGCAGGGCCAGGCAUUUGCUGAAUGCCCCCAGGCAUCCCGCAUGUCCUCUUUGGCGCCUUCCAGAAGCCCCAGAGCCUGGGCCCCUCCAUCUGUCCCCAGACAGUGAAGGAAGACCACCAAGUGAGGCCAACCACACACAGUUCCAUACGCCCAGGUGCACUCCAUCACCACGUGGGGACCCCCAACGUUGGGCCUGGAGAAACAGGCUCUGCCCUCUGCAGGGCCCUUCGUCUGUCAAGGAAGACCUGCCUCCAGCCAACUCCACACAGCAGGGUUGAGGCUAGACCAGCAGGGGGCGGCGUGGCGAGAGCAUCGGGGAGACGCCCCACUGCUCAGACACAGCUGAGGCCUGCUUCGUGGCCCCACUUCUGCUCCCGGGGAGUGGGGGUAGGAGAGGUAGCCCUCACACUUGGCUGUGGGGACACAAAUGGGGACUCUUUCCCUUGGCAGCUGUCAAUGGUGACAACAGCAACACUGAGUGAGCUGCAGAAGUACCAUCGGCUCUGCGCGCACACGGUUACGUUCGCAUGGCCACGUGGGUCCCCUGACUCCAAAGCUCAUUCCUUCCCCUGGGCCACUCGGCUAGCUUAAUAUCCCCUUGUUGUUGGGGAUAUUAAGUUGCACCACAGGUGAACUCCUGAACACCUACUGAGUAACACGUACUUUAUCUCUAGACAGCAGGGAUAAAACAAACUCUGCCUCAAUGAAGCUGAUGUUCUAAAGGGGAGCCAGAUCAUAAUCACAUCCAUAAAGAAAGGUAUGGACGUUAUUUCCUCUCUACGGAAAAACACAGCAGCAUGAGGAGAUGGAAUGGGAGUGCAAUCAGGGAAGACUUCCUGAAGGCAGUGACCGGAAUGAAGAAUGAGAACAAGCCAGGCAGGCUGCCCAGGGAGAGCAUCCCGGCAGAGGGAGCAGAAAGUUGCAUCCUCUGCCAGCCCAGGUACUUUCUCCUCUGCCUUCUACCCUCAGGCUCACUCCAGUGCCAGCCACUCCAGUUUUCUGGGAACUCCUGAUGGAAAGUGGCUGUGUUUGUUCAUCCCUAUAGCCUUGGGGCACAGCCAGCAGCCCCUGGGGGAAGCCCCGCAGGGGGGUAACGAGACGCAGGGCCCCGCCUGGCCUUACCUCUGUGCCGGGGGCCCAUCCAUGAUGAUGUUGAUCCACAGGAUCUGCAUGGCGUUGAGAGGGCUGGGCAGGUUGAACACGGUGGACAGAGUGAUGAGACUCAGGGCAGAGAUGCUCCUGCGGGGCACACACAGCCCGUCAGGGCUGCCCAGCAGGCUUGGCACCUCAUGCCCUCGGGAAGCCGGCCUCUACUUACGUGCUCAGCUGGAAUCGGACAAAGUUUUUGAUGUUGUAAAAAAUCCCCUUCCCUUCCUCCACUGCAUUCCUGCGAGAGAAGAGAGCCGUUCACUCUCAGAGGCCCUGCGGGAGGGCUCCAGCAGCUGUGUCGGUUGCUGCAAGGGGCAGUGGUGACGCGCACAGAUGGAUGUCAGACUUGGACUUGCGGGCUUUCUUGGGGACACAUCCGUAGGAGAUGGUGGUGUUCUAACAGGUGCCCCUCGGCCACUGGGGACUGAUCCUCAAGCCACUUUGCCCUUCUGUGCCAAGGGUACAUUCGAUGCCUCCAAUCGGACAUAAAUUACGCUCCUGUCAAGCCCAGGGACCCCAUCCCUGCCCAGACUCCCGAGUGCUCCAUGCCUCCCAGCGAUUCACCAAAGAAAAGAGGCACAGCAAAACCAGUCGGGCUUGAAAGGUCCGGGGGACAGCAAGGAGGGAGAGGGGGGAGACUGGAGGACGCUGCCUACUUGUGUCUUUAGAAGGCUCUUCAAGGAAGGCCUUUUAAACCUUGACCUGGGGUCACUAAUAUAGAAAAGCAAUCUAUGCACCACCCCCACCCCCAGAUUUUACUAAAAAAUUUUGCAAAAGAA